UGGUGCGCCCGCUCUAAUUGUUCUGACCUGAGGCAGUUUCGGGCAUUCACCGCAUCAAAUAACCCUGGGGCAGUUUCCAUUUCUAUCGGACAACUCCAAAACACACAAACUGAAAAGUGAAAGGUGAAAAUAGCAGAGCACAACCCCCAACCCCUUUCCCUUUCCUUCUCUCCCCCUCCAUCCUUCGUGUUAGUCUAAAAAAUUAAUUAGGGCUUCAUUGACAGAACACAAUCAAGUAUCAACCAAAAUCGCAGCACACACACUCUCUUCCUCUCCAAAUGCUUGUUCUCUUACCCCAAAUACCACUUUUAGGUUUUUAGUGAAGAGAAAUAGCAAAUAGGGAAGGGAGUGACCGCGGCGACGGAUAAAGGGCGCGUGCCCAGCUGAAGAAAUCGGCUGUGGCUCCGUGAGCGACAAGCGGCGGCCAGGGUAACCGGAGGUGGCAGAUCCUCUCCUUAGUUCCCUUGAAUAUAUCACAGAAAUUCAAAUUA